rnacentral:rRNA from 1 species
UACGUAGGGUGCAAGCGUUGUCCGGAAUUAUUGGGCGUAAAGAGCUCGUAGGCGGUCUGUCACGUCGGCUGUGAAAACCCGAGGCUCAACCUCGGGCCUGCAGUCGAUACGGGCAGACUGGAGUACUGCAGGGGAGACUGGAAUUCCUGGUGUAGCGGUGGAAUGCGCAGAUAUCAGGAGGAACACCGGUGGCGAAGGCGGAUCUCUGGGCCAUUACUGACGCUGGAGGAGCGAAAGCCUAGGGGAGCGAACAGG